GGGUUCGAUCAUGGCUCAGAUUGAACGCUGGCGGGAUGCUUUACACAUGCAAGUCGAACGGCAGCACGGACUUCGGUCUGGUGAGUGGCGAACAGGUGAGUAAUGUAUCGGAACGUGCAUAGUAGCGGGGGAUAACUACGCGAAAGCGUAAUAACCGCAUACGCCCUUCGGGGGAAAGCGGGGGACCUUCGGGCCUCGCACUAUUAGAGCGGCCGAUAUCGGAUUAGCUAGUUGGUGGGAGUAACGGCUCACCAAGGCGACGAUCCGUAGCUGGUUUGAGAGGACGACCAGCCACACUGGGACUGAGACACGGCCCAGACUCCUGCAGGAGGCAGCAGUGGGGAAUUUUUGAAUAAUGGGGAAACCCUGAUCCAGCCAUCCCGCGUGUGCGAUGAAGGCCUUCGGGUUGUAAAGCACUUUUGGCAGGAAAGAAACGGCACGGGAUAAUACCCCGUGCAGCUGACGGUACCUGCAGAAUAAGCACCGGCUAACUACGUGCCAGCAGCCGCGAUAUUACGUAGAGGUGCAAGCGUUAAUCGGAAUUACUGGGCGUAAAGCGUGCGCAGGCGGUUUCGGAAAGAAAGAUGUGAAAUCCCAGAGCUUAACUUUGGAACUGCAUUUUUAACUACCGAGCUAGAGUGUGUCAGAGGAGGUGGAAUUCCGCGUGUAGCAGUGAAAUGCGUAGAUAUGCGGAGGAACACCGAUGGCGAAGGCAGCCUCCUGGGAUAACACUGACGCUCAUGCACGAAGCGUGGGAGCAAACAGGAUUAGAUACCCUGGUAGUCCACGCCCUAAACGAUGUCAACUAGCUGUUGGGGCCUUCGGGCCUUGGUAGCGCUAACGCGUGAAGUUGACCGCCUGGGGAGAGUACGGUCGCAAGAUUAAAACUCAAAGGAAUUGACGAGGGACCCGCACAAGGCGUGGAUGAUGUGGAUUAAUUCGAUGCAACGCGAAAAACCUUACCUACCCUUGAUAUUCUGGAAUCCCGAAGAGAUUUGGGAGUGCUCGCAAGAGAACCGGAACACAGGUGCUGCAUGGCUGUCGUCAGCUCGUGUCGUGAGAUGUUGGGUUAAGUCCCGCAACGAAGCGCAACCCUUGUCAUUAGUUGCUACGAAAGGGCACUCUAAUGAGACUGCCGGUGACAAACCGGAGAAGGUGGGGAUGACGUCAAGUCCUCAUGGCCCUUAUGGGUAGGGCUUCACACGUCAUACAAUGGUCGGGACAGAGGGUCGCCAACCCGCUGAGGAGCCAAUCCCAGAAACCCGAUCGUAGUCCGGAUCGCAGUCUGCAACUCGACUGCGUGAAGUCGGAAUCGCUAGUAAUCGCGGAUCAGCAUGUCGCGGUGAGAUACGUUCCCGGGUCUUGUACACCGCCGUCACACCAUGGGAGUGGGUUUUACCAGAAGUAGUUAGCCUAACCGUAAGGAGGGCGAUUGCCACGGUAGGAUUCAUGACUGGGGUGAAGUCGUAACAAGGUAG
rnacentral:rRNA from 1 species